GCUGGCGGCGUGCUUACACAUGCAAGUCGAACGAGAACGGGCCUUCGGGCUGUCAGCUAAGUGGCGCACGGGUGAGUAAUGUAUAGUUAAUCUGCCCUUUAGAGGGGGAUAACAGUUGGAAACGACUGCUAAUACCCCAUACUCCUUUCUACUUAAUGUAGAUUGGGAAAUGUUUUUUCGCUAAAGGAUGAGACUAUAUGGUAUCAGGUAGUUGGUGGGGUAAGAGCCUACCAAGCCAAUGACGCCUAGCUGGUCUGAGAGGAUGAUCAGCCACACUGGAACUGAGACACGGUCCAGACUCCUACGGGAGGCAGCAGUGGGGAAUAUUGCACAAUGGAGGAAACUCUGAUGCAGCAACGCCGCGUGGAGGAUGACACAUUUCAGUGCGUAAACUCCUUUUAUAUGGGAAGAUAAUGACGGUACCAUAUGAAUAAGCACCGGCUAACUCCGUGCCAGCAGCCGCGGUGAUACGGAGGGUGCAAGCGUUACUCGGAAUCACUGGGCGUAAAGCGCGCGCAGGCGGCCUUUUAAGUUGGAUGUGAAAGCCUAUGGCUAGAACCAUAGAACUGCAUCCAAAACUAUCAGGCUAGAGUGUGGGAGAGGAAGAUGGAAUUAGUUGUGUAGGGGUAAAAUCCGUAGAGAUAACUAGGAAUACCAAAAGCGAAGGCAAUCUUCUGGAACAUUACUGACGCUGAGGCGCG
rnacentral:rRNA from 1 species